GACGUCAACGGAGUCAGUGUUAGGGGCCCCCAAGCAGAGUCUGGAAAAGGGGGAUGGGAUGUGGGUGUGAAGGGAUGCAGCCCCCCCAAAAGAAAUCGGGGUGAAUCAGAAAUACCUACUAAUGAUGCCCCAAUGCAAAACCUGAGAAGAGAGAGAGGGAAAAACGACAAGCAUAUAUUUGUCUAAAAUCGGGAAAAAAGAAAAACCAUGAAAAAUCGAGACAGAAACACAUACGUUGAGGUCUAACCACGAACGAUAAAGGUGGAAGAAAGGACUUUUCUGCCUGCAACACCCAAGCACUAAGCUAAUUUCCUUAAUAAACGAAGAGCUAUUGGAAACCAACAAGGGAAGGACAAAAGCAAAGCAAAAAAGGGGGCAAAAGAGACCGCAAGUCACAGGACAAUGCAAAUGGCUGGAAGAAUCUUGACCUGACUGUCUGCAUAGCGAAACGCCAACCUGAGAUACCGGGUGAAGGCGGUUUAUGGCAGCGCGCUGAAUCGCAUGUGGUCAACCAUCAUUGCGUGAAUCCACUGCAUAGAAUAGCAAGAAAUUGCGAGGAGAGCAAGCAGGUAGAUUACCAAGCCUGCCUCUGAUAGAAGACAUUCCUAUGUCACCAGGAAAAAUAACGGAGGUAUCGCUGCCAUAAAGGACCUGGAUCGGAAUAGAUCCCAAUGAAAUAAAACCCGUUGCCGAAGUUUGUAGAAACGAAAUGGUAAGUGGUUUUUUUUUUCUUUCUCUCUUUCUUUCUCUCUCAUUUAUUUCUUUGUUAAAAAAUAUACAAAUGUGGGCAAAGCUUCUGGAACAAUUUGCAAAAAAAAAAUUUUUAACUGGUUACCUCUAGGAAAAGGAAUGGGGGAGGGGAGAACAGACUACAGAAAGAUGAUUUUGGCUUUAUUCUCUGUGCCCAUGAAUUUCCUUGGCAGAUAAAUGGUAUUUCUUCCCUGGCAGUAAAAUCGAUGAAUUAUUAAAAGUUUGUUAAUGUACUAUUGAUGGAACCAUUUCACUGCCAAGAAAUUUAAGGGAAUAAGCACAGGUGUGUGAAAGACUAAUUACAGGGGUAUUUACGGAGCAUCUUUUCUUAUGACUAAGAAUGUACUCUGCAGAACAGAUUUGAAUUCCAGUAAAUCCACAAAUUGUAUUUUUGUGUGUCUGCUAAAACUCCGGGUUGUAUUUUUUAUUAGACACGUAAAAUGCACUGUUUUAAUUUUAAAGGAAAAAAUGCAAGACCGUGGUCCAUGGGUUAAAAGCGAUUUUACCUAAGAGCAUAGCUAAUCUGAUACCUCGGAUUCAGUUUUAUAUUUAUACUGAAAGACUUAGCCGUGCUUGCUUGCUUGCUUGCUUGCUUGCUAGAUGAUAGUGAAGUGGUGGGUUUAUGGAUAGGGUAUGCAGUUUUAAUUCCCCAGUCCUGAGAUGGGGUUUCUCACCUCACACAGAUUCAUAAGCAUAAAACAUGAAUGAACAAGGCAUACCGCGCAAGUGAAUGUAACACUAUGCUUAGGUCUUUGACUAUUCAUUCUGCUCCCCGGGAGAGCUGUUUAAACAAUGCCUAUGCUUAGGACCCCCACAGUGAUUGAUUUUGGAGGCACCCCCCCCCCAAAAUCUUGUUAAAGUCUUUGGGGGGUGUUAAUUUAACAUACUCAAAAGGACUGGACCCUCUCUAUUUGCAAAACCAGUUUAUCUCUAGGUCCUGGCUCAUCAGCUCUCUGGGAAGUCAGUAGGCUGUAAGAGCUCCCGCAGAGAUAAGAUCUCCCCUUUGCCUCAGUAUUUUCCAUGCUUACUAUCGCUCCAAACUGUACACAGUCUCUUUUCACCCACUCCACAGCCUCACUACAUGUCUUUGGCUCAUAUACGUGUCAUGAAGACUUCUCUUUCAUUUCCCUGGAAUUGUAUGACAAUUUCACCAACUCUCUUGAUGCUUAAGCUGGCAAUGAGAUUGAACAUCUGAAAUGCAACAGUAACAACAACCUGUCUAUUGUCUCUCAUCUCAGGUGACACUGUAUGGUUCUCUACAUGCGUGGCCUCUUCCCCUAUCUUAGCUUACUUUUCCUUGACUCACUUUCCAAGCAGCUGGAUGUUCUCAUGGAAGAAUGUGACCACCGUUCUUACACAACCUCUCCCUAGGUAGCCACCUAUUUCCUAACCUAGUCACAAGGUUUAAAUGCCUAGUCACACGCCAGUAAAUCCUAAAUUCCAAUCCUAUGUUACAGAACUCUCCAUACAAUCCCAAUCUAAUAUAUUCAACAAUCCCCGUAACAGCAGAUGCUCCCUUCAUGUAUUUAGCAGACAACUCAAAAGCACUUAAAACAGCAUGUUAGAUGGCUGGGGUGGCUGUAGUUCAUUUGGUACAGUGCUUGCCUAGCAUGCGUGAGACACUGGGUUCAAUCCUGAGUAUCAAACACCUUUUUUUUUUCCUUUUCUUUUAUCCUCAUGUCUAAAAAGAUUACCAGUUGAUAUAGGCAAAAAUCUCACAAUUUUGUAUUUCUUACAUCUCAGGAUAUCCUACUCACUAUAUCCAAAACACACGCCAACCUCAUCCCAUAUAUUUCCACCCAGUUUUCCUACUAAAGUUUUUUCUGUUCUAAACUCUUCCUUCUGAUACUCGCCACACUGCACUGAACCGAUUUUUGAAGGCACACAAAGAUCUUUC
rnacentral:lncRNA from 1 species